CGGGCGAGUUGAUUCACUUACUCACCCCCUAACGCCGAGUUCCUUUUCACUGUCUGUGGACAUUAAAAAAGCGAGCGGCGGCGGCGGGCGCCCGGGAAAGCGAACCGCCGAGCAGGCGAGCAGCGAUCGGGCAGCCAAGCGAGCGAGCAGCGCGGGUGCAGCGCGGUGACCCCAGCCCCGGCUAGCGCGGAGCAGGAGCCGGAGCCGGGCCGAUCUCCGCGCCCUCGCUGCGCUCCUCCCGGCCCCAGCCGGCCCUACCAGUGGUGGCGGCGGCGCGUCCUCCAGCGGCGGCAGUGCUGCUCACAGCGCCCGGACUUUGCAGCAACUGUGCUUGGAUAUAGUGGGCCUGGAGCUGCCCCCUCCCUCUCCUGAUACCCAGCAAUCUCAAGUCCUUAUCAGUUGCCAGAAGCCUCUGCAGGAGGAAGAGGAGGUGGCCCGUGGGUGUCAGACCAAUGCUGUGAGAGGUGUGAGGAGAGGAGCUGCCACCUGUCACUGAGCUGCAGACCUGGAAAGGUAACUAUAGACCUGUAAGCUCUGGUGGCCGUGCCAUGCCAACACCUCCAACUGAAACCUGGGCAGGGGAAAAGUGACAGGCUGGGCCAUAGCUGAGGCUGGUCACCUUCUUCCCAGCCAUUCUUGACCUGCUCCUUAUGUGGUAUCUAUCCUGCCACAAAACACUCCAGUGAGCUUCAGUUUGCCCAUUUCUAAAAUGGGUACAGGUCUUCGGUCCUGUCCUCACUCCAGUUCUUAAUGGUGUUGCAAACCGGCUGGGUCUGAUUGCUCUUUGGAGUUGAACUCUGAGGGCGUGGCCAGCAAGACCACAGGGCUUGAGAAAAGAGGACUAUCUCAGGCAGACCUGCCCAAAGAUGUGCUUCACCAGAGACAUGACUGUGGUCUCUGUCAGUCCUGGGCAGGAAUUACUAUCUGCAUGCUCAGACCAUGAGACCAAGGCACAGCAAGCUCCUGGGCCUGCCAGGAGUCACACAACAAGCUGUGACCACACCAGAACUACUCGGCUUAAUCCCAUUGCCAUAUAAACAUCCACACUUUUACCUUUACCACAUGGCACUGUCUGACCCGUCCUCCCCAGAGAAUGCAAACCACCAGCCAUCUUAAUUGUGUACCUGUGGUGGGACUCACUAUUACCCAUCUACUCACUUAUCCACGUGUCAUGCAUCCUUUCUUCUAUCUGUUCAUCCAUCUACUCACUGACCUAUCCAUUCUCCCACCCAACCACCCACCUACCUGUCCAUCUAUGCAUUCAUCCAUCCACUCAUUCACCCACCAUCCAUCCAUCCAAUCACCCAUUUCCUACUCAAUUCACUCAUCAAACACUCACUGAGUCUUGCACCAGGCCAGACCUGCUCCAAGAGGGCACAAUGUGUAAUGGAGACAGAUGUGUGGUCUCAGGGCCUGCCUCAAUUCCAUGAGGCAGGGCUCAAGGCUGUGCAGUGUCUGUGACUGCACUGGAAAGGCCAGGAGGGUCACACGCUGGUUCUGUAGGCAGGUGUUCAAGGAAGAAGAUGCAGUGCUCUUCAUUUCUUCAUUCUCCAGAGGUUUAUUGAAAAUGUCUCUGUGUCAGGAGCUCCUGAAAUUGGGGAGAAUAAAUCACAACAGGGAAUAAAUCACAAAACUCUUGUCUCAUGGCUAUCUGUUCUCAUGAAGAGAAGGACAAUAAACACCUGAAAAGUGAAGCUAUCUCUGUCAGAUGGUACUAAGUUUUAAGGAGAGAAGUUUUAAGAAGCCAGGAAACAAGCUGAACUGCCGGGUGGGGUGGGGUGCUCCAUGAUGAAGGAAAACCUCUGGUGACAUCCGAGACCUGAGUGCAAUCCAUAAUGAGCAGGGGUGCGUGGGACAUUCAAGGAAACAGCAGGGAAGCAGCGUGGGUGGUGCUCGGUUAGAGCGGGAGGUGAGCUCAGAGAGGCCGAGGGAGACUCAUGCAGGCAGCAAGCAUGGAUCAGGGAGCUCCUUUCUAGGUAGAGGUGGUGAUGGCUUGGACCCAGGAUAGCAAGCAAGAAGUGAGAAGCCAUUGAGCCUGAAUAUGUGUCCAAGACCCAGCAGAUGGGCUUGCUGUGGAUUCGAGGUAGAGGCUCACAGAAGACGAGGACAGUCAGGACAGGCUUCUGGGCCAGAGGUCAGGGGGAGAAGGGAGAUGACUAGGAGGGCAGGAUGAAGCCCAGGCAUGAUGCUUUAAUGACCAAGUGUGCAAUGGCUCUGAGCUGUCCGAGUGGAAAGCCAAGUAAGCAACUGGAUAGAUACGUCUGGAAGGCAGAGUGGUCCCAGAUAGAGAUAUAAAUUUGGGAGUUGUUCUUUGUAGCUGGUGUUGCAACCCGUGUGGCUGAUGAGGUCACCUCAAGUGUGUGUGGAGAUGGUGAGGCUGGGAACCUGAGUCUGAGUCAUGGCUAUUCAGCCUUUGGGAGAAGGACGGAUGGAGAGAAUCAGGAGAGGGGAUCAGGAAGGGUAUAGCUAGGGAGGGAAAGGAGAGCAGAAGGGCAGGCUGAGUGUCAAGAAGACGUUACUGGGCAAAGCAGGAAAGAGCAUUGCAGGCAGAGAGAACAGAGGGAAUCAUACAAGGGCUCAGAAGCCUCAAUAAAUGAGCCAGUAUUUGGAGGGGAGUGAUGAAGAGGGAGGAGGAAGCAGAGCCUUUUCCUCCCCAGCCCUGGCCACACAGAUGUGAAGGUCCUUACGUGUCUGGCUGGGCCCUGAGGCAGCCUAUGUCUAGGCCCUUCCUGUCCCCUUGGCCAGCCCUCCUGGCCCCAGCUGAGCCUCUUACACUAAUGUCUAUCCGCUUUCACACUUUCAUUUAAAAAGCUACAUCAGGGGCAGGAGGUAUGGCUUUGCAAGUGGGAAGCUCUGAGUUCAAAACCUAGUUCCACCAAAAAAAUAAAUAAAUAAUAAAAAUAAAAAUAAAAGGCUCCAUCGGGCUCUUCUGACCUCCUGCCCCGCCUCUGGGGCAGGAGGACCCCUGGCACUUCCCCCUUGCUGGGAGCACUUGUCCAAAACCCAGGGCUAAAGUAGGCAGCUCAGAUGCUGCCCACAGAGAGGAGGAACUUCUUGUUGAAUUCCUAAGCAUUCACAGAUCCUUUUUCAAAGAAAUGGCCACCUUCCUGGGCAGUGAGGGAGGGGCUGGACAGCUGGCUCACCAGUCAGAGUGCUCCCUGCCCAUUGUGUGUGCAUCUGUCUCCCCAGAGCCUUCUUCCCUUGCCUCAUCUCUGUCUUUGGUUCUGUCUCUCUGUCUCUCUUAGCAGUGUCCUCUCUGGGUCAGGACCCUUGCUGGACGGACCCCGAGGAGCAGGGUGGCCUCUGCCUCCUGAGAGCUCAG